UGCCGAGUGGUGUAACGGUAGCACAGGGGCCUUUGGAGCCUCUGGUCUAGGUUCGAAUCCUAGCUCGGCAACCA
rnacentral:tRNA from 1 species